GGCCCUGCAUGCCCAUGACGGAAGUGUGAAAAGAGCGAAUUGUAGCUCUUAAUGCAGUUAUCCUAACUUAUUGCAUAAUGAAUAAUUCGGUCAGCUUAAAAAAUGUCACAACCCUUUUGCAUUGUAUUUUGAAUUGUAUUUUGAGAGCAUGAUGACUUGAAAAAUGACUUUGAUGAUCUGCAACUUUGCCUGAUCACUAGUGUCACAGUAGAAAUUUUGAUUUGCUUCAUGUACUAGGCAUUUCCUUAAGGGGAUGAUUAUCAAAAAUAGUUUCCAGGGUAGUUUUACUUCAGGACAUGCAAAGCAUUAGCUUACAUGAACAAAUUGUGAAUUAUUAUCACAAAUAAGUUUAACAGGUUCCAGAUGGCAAGUUACUAUUUUGAGUAACGAGCGUUUGGCAUAAAAGCACCACUUCUAUUUGAGAAGAAGAGAGCUGUUGACUAAUUUAUACACGGACAGGGAUAUUACCCACUAAAAUAAUGACACUAUUUGGUUGUUUAUUGAGUACCAUGUAUUAUUGAAAUUCAGUACCACAUGCACCUUUUUAUUAUUACGUUACAAUGACCGUCAGGUCAGCUGAUCAGGAAGUGAUGUAACAAAUGCUGUGACCUCUGCUCAUCUUAAGCUCCAGCUGCAGAGUUACAAUCUUCAUAUGAAUGUAAGCUGAUUUCCAGUUUUAUGACUGACACCUCAGAACCCUUAGGUUACACAUUGCCAAAAGCCCUCUCCAGAACUGGCCCUUGUACAAAUGUAGGUGAGAGAACUGUGAAUGCUGGGAAGUGGUAAGAAUCAAAAGCUCUCUAGUCAACAUGUGCAAACAGGCUUUCUACUAGUGUUUCCAACUCACAAGUCAUCUGUGUAUUUUGAAAUCAGCUUGCUUACUUCAAGUGAUGAAUGUGUUACAUACCUGUACAUGUAUACAUAUUAUUUUAAAGUCCAGUGGGCAGAAAUUGCUUGGUAAAAUGUUAUCAAGCUUUCUUUUUUGAUAAUGGUUUUGUUCAUUGUGUGUGUCAGAAUAUGUGUAAAUAUGAUAAUUAUGGUGAUGCUCAAAAUAACUGUCUCAGUGGAUUAAAGUACCGAUACUGUCCUAUACAUGUGCUGUUCAAGAAAAACAGUUCAUGUCUGAUUUACUACAAAUCAGACCUUUUAUUUCCGUAAAGGUUUGUUUAUUACUGCUUUUAUUAAAAGUGGUCACUUUAAGAUAUUUGAUGAUAUGGCUAUGAAUUGUGAUUCUGUAACACGUUACUAAAAAUGAUGGUUCUUGGAUGUUGUGCACAGUUGGGGUUGUCCAGCUACUCACCAAGCACCGUCUGGGUCAUCUUUUCUGUGCCUGAAUAAUAUGUGCAUCCUACAUUUAUUAUUAACUCAAUUUCAGGAAUGACACUAAAAAUUCUGGAAUGAAUGACCAUAUUGAAACAUCAGUUUUCCUGAUAGUCUUCUAUUGUAUGACAACUGUUCUGUUCAGUGGUAGCCUUCAGCUGUAAUGUUUUUUGAUGGACACCUUCCAUGUUAUUUGAGAGGAUUUUGUUUUUGGUCAUAGCAUUGGGACUUCACUGAUAGUUUGUGUACAGGUGACGUGUGAUAAAAUCAUUGCAACUGAUAUGAGGUGAUAUGAAUGUUUUUAAAAAUCCUGAUGAUGAUCUCCACUCAUAGUUGUUUGGAAUGAGGGUUGUGGGAGUUCACUACAAUAAUAAUUCCAUUGUUUUUCUGUAUUUUCCAACAAACACAUUUCUGAGUAAAUGAUGAGUUGGAUAUACGUAGUUUGAUGUUUAUAACGAACAUCACUGUUAGUUGUAAAACUUUUUUUCAGAAAAAAAGGUAAAUUAUAUCAAGCCUUAUCACACUGCAUCAAUUUGUUGAGAAGUGUUGAUUAGAAUAAUGUAAUUUAUGGAAGUAUAAUCUGUUGUGACCUUUUUGUCAACAGGUAGGGUUUUCAUUGCCUGGAUGAGUUGAGGCAGGUUUACUUCAUGUCUACAUCUUGGCUCAAUGGGAUGAAACAGGUUUGGAGAUGGUUAUUCCCUGAAUGCUUGGCUGUGGUCACUUGGAGGAUGUUGCGUAGGACCCUGGUGUGUUUGAAGGUGGUCUGCAGCUUUAGUGCAGAUUAAGCUAUUGAGUAGAUAUCCACGACCCAAGUCUGCCAGCUGCACAUAGUUUGGGAUUGAUACUGACAUCUGACUUUUUUGCAGACGUUUUAAUGGUCCAAUCAGGCAGGAGCCGUAACGUUGAAAUUCGGUCCUCAAAAUACAGGGAUGUUUCACACACACUUUCGCCGCUGCUCUUCAUAGAUUGGCUCAACUGAUUGGGAGCUGUCAGUGACGUUGUUCAUGGUCCAAUCCGGCAGGACUGUGCCACAUGAUUGCGGUCCACAACAAACAGAAAAGGACGGAUGUGCUGUGACCGCAACUCAUUGUCCAUCAGGAGUGACUUGCUGUGACAGAACACUUGUGAUCUAUCUGGAGGGAUUUGUGAUGACAGUCACCCAUUGAUCACUCGGAAGGAAAAGGCAUUUACUGUAAUAUCAACCCAUUAAUCCCUCUGGGGGAGUGACCCAUUGAUCUCUCAGGAUAGGAGGAACUUGCAAUGACAGUGUUGCAUUGAUGUAUCCGGAGGACUUUGCUGUGAGAGGGUCACCCAUUGAUCAAAGAGGAGGGACUUCUAGUAGAGGCUUGGGUUAAUCAAAUCAAAUUUUGUCAAUGUCCACAUUGUGCACCCCUUUCAGAAAUUAAAAUUUUUAUUUUGCGGGAAAAAAACGCAUUUAACAUUUUUGAAUUGAGAUCUGGUGCAACUAACAUGUUAGUUUUGCUGUGAAUGUGAUCCAUUGAUUGGUUGACAAUGUUUGAUGAAUUUAAAAACUUGAAAAUGUUGACAUUUUCCCAUGGGGGCGCUGUUAAAAAACAAACAUCAUGCACAAUUUCCACGGGACGUUAAAAUCAGGAGAGUUUUCCUGCAAAUUAAAGGGAAUGUACAUCAUUGGCUUUUGCUGUAAUUUUCAGAAAUGAACUAUUUGAGGGGUUAGUAUAAUAG